GCCGGGUCGGUAAACAAUCGACGUUUGUUAUUUCUGCCACUGCAAGUUCACACGCGAGGUGUCGGUGCGAAAGUUUAAAAUAACAACUGUCGUUAUUUCCUAAACAAUCAUCGCAGUAAUUAUUAUAAUGUGCGUUCGGAUGUUAUAAUUGGGAAGUAACAAAUCUCGGUACAUGCUGAUGUUACAUAUUCGCGUAGAUCCGGGACAGAGCGUGGCUUUGUACUUGGUUCCUCUGUUUACAAACAUCGAGCUGUGUAUGAGAACGACGGAGGUCACUGAAGUUGGUCACGAAUCUUCAGUUAUUCUCAGAGAGUUGAAAGAUAGUCGGUCAGUGCUCGGUCGCGUACAGACAAGAUUAAACAUGUUCAAUUCAAUUAUACGAGAUUAACAUUUCGGGAAUUAGCAAAGAACCACAUUUUAGCGCGGCGGGGUGAAAUCAUUUCUAUUUAAAACAAUUGAAAAGUGCUGUGCAAAUUGGUUGUCAGUGGAUUACUAUUCCAUGUAAAAUUCAGUAUAUUUACGUACGAAAAUGUACAAACACGCAAACUGGCAUGUUCAUGAUACUUUUAGGUAUAAAAUGACGCAAAUCUGAUCUUCAACGGAUAGCUAAUAUUGUAUUGUGUAGUUUUAUAACUAGGAGUAUAAUUAACAUGACAAUUUGCGUAGCUACAUAUUUAAAAAAAUAAAUAAAUUCAUCGUUCGGGUAUUUAGUUGGUAAUAAAUUCUAGUGUCGUGAGUGCAUCUCUUGAUUGACGCCUGAACAUCACCUGCGGAAACAUAUAUCAGGCGGAUCCACGAUACCCGAGUCCAGAAUGCUUGGAAAACCAGAUCGUGUGAAGUUUAAGAACGGUGCACACGCAGCUGACUCCUGAUGCUGACGGGGUCCGGAACACGGUCCAGAUGCGAGGCCUUGGUUUUUUCAUCAUUUUUCAUCCCCCAAUAAGCCGCACGUCGCUGACAUCCACCACCCUCGUGAGAAAUUUACCAAAUCUUCACACCGACCGAACCGGACGUCCUUGCAAGCAUAUACGAUCAGUUCCGACGUCCUCGAUUGACAAGUUCCCGAUUUCCAGUGAAAAAGUUAGGAUGGACAGCAGUGAUCUUCGGUUAAAUCCUCCUUUUCUUUAGUCAGCGUUUUCGAGAUCAUCACGGAAGUUUGUCAGGCAGACCGACAGACUCUUUCCUGUUCACGGCGACGAAGACUAUCGCCCUGUAAAACUACGUUUCCAACUGGUUUCAACGGUCUUUCCUCUUCGUCCAACUUUUGAUUCAGACGGUCCGGCCCGAUUCAUCCUUAAUACGCGUGAAUUAAUUAUCGAGCUUGAGCGGGGCAGCUCGCGUUGCACAUAAUGAAUAACAAUGAAGAACAAUAAAGUUCGGGCCAUCAGACCGCACGAAAAUCUCUCUCGGGUCUAUCCGGCGGGCUGCCGUUUCCCUGGGACAUUAACUUUCGACUAAUCCCCGUUUAUGCAAAUCCGGGAGACUCGGAGCAUCUGUUCGCGCAGCGUCGCCGGCCCGAGGGCCCCGAUUCUUGACUCUUAAUUCUCGAUUCUCGGAUCUCGGGCUGCCCCGUAAUCGAGAACGGUUACGUCAUCGUCAUCUAAGUUCAGGAGUUCAGAACGCCGCUGCUGACGCUGCAGAUGCUCGCUAACGAGAACAAUUAGGAGUUCCACUUUACGCUCUAAAAAUAAACACGGGGGCCACUUUAAAACUUUACUGUCAUAACUACCAACCGCUCAACCAGAUGCGACCCCAUCUUAUAUUAAUAUCCCCCCCCCCCCCCCCCCUCUGCUUGGGACCACCUCUCCCUUAUAACAUGUUCGAGACUCUCUUUCGCAACAUCUUCGGACAGAACGAGAAACUUGGAGGAUGUGAAGAGGGUUCGAGAGUUCUUGGAACCACUUUGGUCAUCAGGUGUAUUUUCCUGGGAAAGCAAUACGGCCCAACUUCCUGCCGCACAUAUGUUCAUCGCAUCCCUGAAUUUGAAGGAAGCUGGUGAGAUCCUCCGAUGCAUCAAGAGCAGCCAGACUACGUGACAAAUUUGAGGAAAAAUGGGCCUGACCGCUUCCACUUAGCGGUCUGUCGGCUUUCCCAUGACGGAAUACCGUCUAUGGGCAUAAAAUUCGUAGACGUAAACGUGUGUGGGACAUUCGUUGCGUCGCGACGUCCCGAGGGGAAGCGGACCCUCCAGGACGGAGACAGUCCGGUCGGUCCGGACGUCGCCAAAGCGAGCAGGUGCUGCUUGAUCCCUGCACUUCCCCUUUUGCAGAUGAAUUUCCGUGUUCAAAAUCGACCCGGAUGAAGAAGACGACCCUCGUGGUGUGUACCUUGUGGGCAAAUGACCGCUUUCACGUCGCCCGCAGUAACGAUCGUCGGUUCGUCGAUGUCUUGUUGGACUUGUUGGUUCCGAGUGAUCGGUGAACAGGCGAGUCAGAGAUGAUAAAUCGGGAAGUGACUUUGUUUACCGCGAUGACAUGUUUCAUGUGACUUAAAUCUCGUGCAGCAGUGCACGGAGUGUUCAUUGAUUGGAUCGAAUGAGAUUUAUUGCGGUCACUUCAGUUUUCUAUUUUUUUUUAACUAAAAUUUGGAUAGUGUUAUUUUUGUGAUAUUGAUAAACACUUUCUUCGUUCGAUUGUAAUACCACCAAUGAGUUUAUUCAAUUAUUACUUUACAUCGAGGAUUGAUAAUAUGUAAUUCGAUUGCCUGAUUAGCUGGUGAAUUAUGAUGGUAUAGUUUUUAAUUGCAGAAUUAUGUAGACGAUUUGUUACUGACAACUUGUCGCUGUGCAUUUUCGUUCGAUAAAUUUUGAAUAACGCCGGCAUAAAACAAUUUUAGACGCUUACUCUGGCGUCAGUUUGUUAGAUGUAACGAUUGUGCAUGAUCUUGAUUGCUUUUUUGGGUUCUUGAGAGUCGGAUUCGUGAAAAUUGGGUCGUACGAACUGAUUGAGAGACAAAAUGUUUUUGCAUCCAAAAAUCGCGAACAAGCGAAGAUGACUCGUUCAGAUUUUUUUGGGGAUUUUGGUUGAUUUAGGUUAAUGCUAAGAUUUAUUCUUGGAUACACUAUAUCGACGUAAUUUUGCGGGAUGGAUUGAAACGCGUACACUCUCGAUUAGCUGCAAACAAUAGAUCGGAAGGGACAACCGAGGAACAUGAAUAUUGUACUUGAGAGCUUAAAGAGAUAAAAACGAAAGAGUCGCAAAUUCAUUGUUAAGAAGUUUCAAUUUCAGUUCGUUCAAUAAGUUUUAUUUCUAGUACAAGUGUUCAAGAGUAACUGCAUAGCACAAAGAGCCAGAUGGUGUUACAGUGAUAGACGUAAUGCAGAAGGAGAAUAAACAUUAAACAUCACAUGACGCAUCCAAUAAUUGUAUGAAAAAGAAGGAGUGCGAUAUUCAUUAACCUAACACAAUAUUAAACUCUGUGAUGUGAGUUUUUGAGUAUGGAUUAGGUUCCAGCCUGCAUACAAAAGCAAUGCACCUCGACUGUAUAACAUACGUGUGACAUUGUCGAAUACAAUUGUAUCUUGGGCUAAGAUAAUUGAAUAAAUGAAUUUUUCUGUA